AUUGAACGCUGGCGGCAUGCCUUACACAUGCAAGUCGAACGGUAACAGGUUAAGCUGACGAGUGGCGAACGGGUGAGUAAUGUAUCGGAACGUGCCCAGUCGUGGGGGAUAACUGCUCGAAAGAGCAGCUAAUACCGCAUACGACCUGAGGGUGAAAGCGGGGGAUCGCAAGACCUCGCGCGAUUGGAGCGGCCGAUAUCAGAUUAGGUAGUUGGUGGGGUAAAGGCCUACCAAGCCUACGAUCUGUAGCUGGUCUGAGAGGACGACCAGCCACACUGGGACUGAGACACGGCCCAGACUCCUACGGGAGGCAGCAGUGGGGAAUUUUGGACAAUGGACGCAAGUCUGAUCCAGCCAUGCCGCGUGCGGGAAGAAGGCCUUCGGGUUGUAAACCGCUUUUGUCAGGGAAGAAAAGGUUCUGGUUAAUACCUGGGACUCAUGACGGUACCUGAAGAAUAAGCACCGGCUAACUACGUGCCAGCCGCCGCCGUAAGAC
rnacentral:rRNA from 1 species